rnacentral:rRNA from 1 species
GACGAACGCUGGCGGCGUGCCUAAUACAUGCAAGUCGAGCGCAGGAAACUGACGGAACUCUUCGGAGGGAAGGCAGUGGAAUGAGCGGCGGACGGGUGAGUAACACGUAAGGAACCUGCCUCAAGGAUUGGGAUAACUCCGAGAAAUCGGAGCUAAUACCGGAUAGUUCAACGGACCGCAUGGUCCGCUGAUGAAAGGCGCUUCGGCGUCACCUUGAGAUGGCCUUGCGGUGCAUUAGCUAGUUGGUGGGGUAACGGCCCACCAAGGCGACGAUGGAUAGCGGGACUGGGAGGGUGAUCGGCCACACUGGGACUGAGACCCGGCCCAGACUCCUACGGGAGGCAGCAGUAGGGAAUCUUCCACAAUGGACGAAAGUCUGAUGGAGCAACGCCGCGUGAGUGAUGAAGGUUUUCGGAUCGUAAAACUCUGUUGUAAGGGAAGAACACGUACGAGAGGAAAUGCUCGUACCUUGACGGUACCUUACGAGAAAGCCACGGCUAACUACGUGCCAGCCGCCGCGGUAAGAC